GGACAGAGAGAGAGAGAGAGACUAGAAGUCAACUUACAGGCAGGACAGAGAGAGAGAAAAUAGUGAAAAACCUUUGAAGAUCUCUGAAGAAGUGAAGCUACAACUGAAGACUUCAGAAGGAGACAAUCACCAUGGCGAUGUUGACCACUCUUCUGCUUCUGAGCGCUGUCUUUGCUCUGGGAGAUGCAAGGGGUAGCAGAGGGCAUCGGCAUAAUCACUGUGACUCAGAGGAACACAUUCCUCCUCCUCCUCCGACAGAUUAUUCUGACUCGGAUGAACACAUUCCUCCUCCUCCGACAGAUUAUUCUGACUCGGAUGAACACAUUCAUCCUCCGACAGAUUGGUCUGAUUCAAAGGAACACAUUCAUCCUCCGAAAGAUCGGUCUGAUUCAAAGGAACACAUUCAUCCUCCGAAAGAUCGGUCUGAUUCAAAGGAACACAUUCAUCCUCCGAGAGAUCGGUCUGAUUCAAAGGAACACAUUCAUCCUCCGAAAGAUCUGUCUGACUCAGAAGAAAACAUUCCUCCCCGGA